GAUGAACGCUGACAGAAUGCUUAACACAUGCAAGUCUACUUGAAGCUAACUUCGGUUAGUGGAGGGUGGCGGACGGGUGAGUAACGCGUAAAGAACUUGCCUCGCAGUUUGGGACAACAUUUGGAAACGAAUGCUAAUACUAAAUAUUAUGAUACUUCUGCAUGGAAGAAUCAUGAAAGCUAUAUGCGCUGUGAGAGAGCUUUGCGUCCCAUUAGCUAGUUGGAGAGGUAACGGCUCACCAAGGCGAUGAUGGGUAGCCGGCCUGAGAGGGUGAACGGCCACAAGGGGACUGAGACACGGCCCUUACUCCUACGGGAGGCAGCAGUGGGGAAUAUUGGACAAUGGACCAAAAGUCUGAUCCAGCAAUUCUGUGUGCACGAUGAAGUUUUUCGGAAUGUAAAGUGCUUUCAGUUGGGAAGAAGCAAGUGACGGUACCAACAGAAGAAGCGACGGCUAAAUACGUGCCAGCGGCCGCGGUAAUACGUAUGUCGCAAGCGUUAUCCGGAUUUAUUGGGCGUAAAGCGCGUCUAGGUGGUUAUGUAAGUCUGAUGUGAAAAUGCGGGGCUCAACUCCGUAUUGCGUUGGAAACUGUAUGACUAGAGUACUGGAGAGGUAAGCGGAACUACAAGUGUAGAGGUGAAAUUCGUAGAUAUUUGUAGGAAUGCCGAUGGGGAAGCCAGCUUACUGGACAGAUACUGACGCUAAAGCGCGAAAGCGUGGGUAGCAAACAGG
rnacentral:rRNA from 1 species